rnacentral:rRNA from 1 species
AUAAAUUAAAACUUUCAACAACGGAUCUCUUGGCUCUGGCAUCGAUGAAGAACGCAGCGAAAUGCGAUAAGUAAUGUGAAUUGCAGAAUCCAGUGAAUCAUCGAAUCUUUGAACGCACAUUGCGCCCGCCAGCAUUCUGGCGGGCAUGCCUGUUCGAGCG